UCGUCUAUUUAGAGAUGAAGUAGUUUGCAAUGUUGCCGGUUAGUUUGCACUGAAUAGCAAGAGCAUCAUUUUCUGAUCAUCAAGCAAUGGUAAAAGUUGGAAAAAAUGAAGAAGUGAGGAAUGCAGAUUGUAUCAAGUACUGAGAUGGUUGUCUGAGAUGGCACUGCUGUCUGUAUAGAAAUAGCCAGUGGCAGAGAGGAGUGAAAGGAUCACCCUUUGAUGUUGGCACCUGAUUAGAAGCCAUGAUAUGAAUAAAGGAAAAAGAGGGCAACCCAAAAUCUGCAAGGCAGACACAAAGAACAAUUUGUUAUAUUAGAUUGAGACUGAUGAUGAUGAUGAUGAGAAGCAGCCAAUGAAGAGAUCCAAAGAAUAAUUCCUGACAUCGUACUAACAUUGUAUCGAUCUAUCUCUGAGGGGAUUCUCGCUAAAUUGCAAUCAAUUUACAUGUUUUAAAUGUCUGUCACACCUACUGUACUGAAGCUAAUUGGGGUAGUUAACUAUUGUUUAGCAGCUUUAGUAGGCAUGCCAGUUACUAAGCUGCGUAAGCAGAAAGCAAUUUAGUGAGAAACCUCUUGGAGAUGGACCAAUCCUGUUAGACCGAUCUAGGUAUGAGAACCCAGUCUAAGAAAAAAUUAUGUGAACAGUCAGAGAAGAAUUUCA